GAGGGUAUAGCUCAAUGGUAGAGUGUGUGCUUAGCAUGCAAGAGGUCCUGGGUUCAAUACCCAGUGCCUCCA
rnacentral:tRNA from 1 species